ACCACUUAAUAAGAGAAUCAUGUUCAUGUUGUCCAAAUGAAUAUUUUGUGAUUACUAGCCACUGCCCAGUGGCAAAUGUGCUACUGGUGGUUUCCUUUGACUGUUUUACAAUAAUAAUCAUGGUUUAAAUUUUACUGCCAGUCUUGAAUACUAUUGCUGACCUCUUAAAUCUUCUCACUUAGAGUUUACCAUUGUAAAGGUUCUAUCCACCAUAGCAAUGGACUAUUUCUGAAGUCUUGUAAAAUGAAUUAAUUAACCAUGACAAUAGGUCUUUCGUUGUCUUUCCCUGUUACCAGAUACAAAUUUGUGCCAAUGCAGUCAUAUCAUCAAGCAUCAAAGUCAGUCUCACCUUGAACCAAAAUGGCCUUUAUUGUUAACUGAUUCUCAAGAAAUUAUGUGUCUUUGUGUUUGUAUGAGAGCGGAUUUCUGUGCAUGGGGAUGAAGCUUAGAGGUGUAUGGGGGAUGAUUAGCCAGAAGGCCGUCUGGGAGCAUGGCACACACUCCAUCUGGACACACAGUCACUGUGAAAAAGAGUGUGAAAGAGAAGGAUAAAGACACACACAAGGAGACGGAGAGAGAGAAGUUAAGUAGCUGUUUGCUGCGCUGCUGGAUUCUGCUCCUUCGUCUUCGCCUGGAACAGGGACACGCCUCCCUGUCCUCCACCCCCACCUCCAGAUGACACUUUAAAGAAAUCUGCAAGAAAAGCUUGAUUUUGCAGGACUCAUAGACGGCGGGGACCAGUGACAGCGGCAAGUGUUGACAGACCUAGACCUCCCUGGAGCCGCUGUAGGUGCCAGGGACAGACUUGUCCUUCUUACGGCUGUUUUCAGUAAAUUAACUC